rnacentral:rRNA from 1 species
GAUGAACGCUGGCGGCGUGCCUAAUACAUGCAAGUCGAGCGAACAGACGAGGAGCUUGCUCCUCUGACGUUAGCGGCGGACGGGUGAGUAACACGUGGAUAACCUACCUAUAAGACUGGGAUAACUUCGGGAAACCGGAGCUAAUACCGGAUAAUAUAUUGAACCGCAUGGUUCAAUAGUGAAAGACGGUUUUGCUGUCACUUAUAGAUGGAUCCGCGCCGCAUUAGCUAGUUGGUAAGGUAACGGCUUACCAAGGCAACGAUGCGUAGCCGACCUGAGAGAGGGAGCGGCCCCACUCGGACAGUGACACGCUGCAGACACCUAUGGGAGGCACCAGUAGGGAAACUUCCGCGAAGGGGGAAAACGUGACGGGGCGAAGCGCCGCGUGUGAGAAAAGGCUUCGGGUCGUGAAACUCUCUUUUAAGGGAAAAAAAAAAAUGUGAAUAUCUAUACGCGCGUUGACAGUACCCAAACAGAGAACCCCGGGUAAAACUAUG